AUGCUGGGCAUCCUGUCUUCCCGGCGCUCCAACUCCGUCGACGAGGUGGAAGACAACAUCCCGCACUUCAUCCCCACCACGAAAUUCCGCGUGCGCAUUCCGGGCGACACCUGGGGGGACUGGCGCUACGCCGCGCGGGACUGCCGCCAUGGCCGCGUCCUCCUCGGCAACGAGACCUACCAGCCCGUCCCGCUCGUCGUCUGGGACCCCAUGACGGGCCGCCGGAGGGAGCUGGACCCGCCCUUCCUGGUGGGCGGCGCCCAUGGCUAUGGGGCGGCGGUGCUCUGCGCCGUGGCCGGCUGUGACCACCGUGCGUGCCACGCGGGCCCCUUCCAGGUGGCCUUCGUCGGCGUGGACAAGAUUAAAGAUGGCGAAUUUUUCGCAAGCGCGUGCGUGUCCUCGCCGGUGACGGGUGAUUGGAGCAAGCCAUGCCAUUAUUCUCAUUAUGAUGAAUGGAGCGAGCCGUGCUCUCGUCUUCAUCUUGGGUCUAACUCAUUUUGGGCCGAAAUGCCCCCUGUCUUCGUCCAAGGCGCACUUUACUUCAAGUUUAUGUCUCAGGAAGAUGAUCACAUAGCAAUUCUCAAGUAUGACUUGGGAUCUAACUGCUUAUCGCUGAUCGAUGCGCCGUUGGCGGGAUCUGUCCUUCUCAAUGCCACUAUCCUCAUGGCGAUGGACUAUAACAGUUUGGGGUUUGCACAUGUGGACAAGUUUACCCUCCACUUGUGGUCAAGACAGAGGGGUUCCGACAAAAUUGCGUCAUGGGCUCAACGUUCUGUCAUCAAUCUUGAUAACCUUCUGCCCAUUCAAAAUCCCAAUAAGAGAUUUAGACUGAUUGGAUCUGUGGAGGGCAGUGAUACCAUUUUCGUGACCAUGGGCCUUCACAUCUAUGAGAUUAGUCUCAAGACAUUACGGUGGAAGAAGCUACAGAAGAGAGAAAAGCUUUGUGAUUUGAUUCCGUACAUGAGUUUCUACAAUCCACAAGAAAGAGUGAUUCCCAGUGAUGCGGCGCAUUGA
rnacentral:rRNA from 1 species